UACGGAGGAUUCAAGCGUUAUCCGGAUUUAUUGGGUUUAAAGGGUGCGUAGGCGGUUUGAUAAGUUAGAGGUGAAAUACCGGUGCUUAACACCGGAACUGCCUCUAAUACUGUUGAGCUAGAGAGUAGUUGCGGUAAGCGGAAUUCCUGGUGUAGCGGUGAAAUGCGUAGAUAUCAGGAGGAACACCAGUGGCGAAGGCGGCUUACUGGACUGUAACUGACGUUGAGGCUCGAAAGCGUGGGGAGCAAACAGG
rnacentral:rRNA from 1 species